CAGUGGCAGCAGAGACAGCUGUACCAUGGCAGUGUGCAGUGUCCAGCAUCUGAGUACAAGCCAUGGGGUCAGUGCUUGGCAGCUGCGGUGGUAACUUCACAGGACCAGCUCUGCGGAAUGUUUUGGAAGAAUAUGUAUUUCUUUGGGCACUGCCUGUCUUGCUAUUGAAAGCCACGUCUGUUUUGGAUGGCUUUGAAGGUUCCCCGCUCUGGGGGCGUAGUGGCCUUUCAUCCCCUGCGGCCUCAGGAUCCCUGGAUGGAGGCAUCUGGGAACGUGUGUGAGGGGCAGGAACGACUAGGGCCCUGGAGAGCUGGGGCGUCUGCUGCUGCUGAAGACCCCUGACAGGGGAUAUGGAGGAGCCUCAAGGAAGUCGGCAGACGAGCCUUCCAGGCCUUCUGGUUUAUGGACCUGUCUCUGUCCAUUGCUUAAAAGUUGGGAUUAUUAAAACUAAUAAUUCCUAAAGAACGCAGUUUUGUAGUAUGAAUCUCUUAGUAAAACAUGGCAUGAUAU